AUGGCCGGCGCGCAGGAGUCCCUCGUCUACGCCGGUGUGAUGCGCGGCCACAACGACGUGGUCACGGCCAUCGCGACGCCCAUCGACAACUCGCCCUUCAUCGUCUCCUCUUCCCGCGACAAGUCGCUGCUCGUCUGGGACCUCACCAACCCCAUCCAGGCCACCCAGGACUCCAGCUCCGAGUACGGCGUCCCCUUCCGCCGCCUCACCGGCCACGGCCACUUUGUCCAGGACGUCGUCCUCAGCUCCGACGGCCAGUUCGCGCUCUCCGGAUCCUGGGACGGCGAGCUCCGCCUCUGGGACCUCUCCACCGGGGUCACCACCCGCCGCUUCGUCGGCCACGAGAAGGACGUCCUCUCCGUCGCCUUCUCCAUUGACAACCGACAGAUCGUCUCCGCGUCCCGCGACCGCACCAUCAAGCUGUGGAACACCCUCGGUGAGUGCAAGUACACCAUCGGCGGUGACCUUGGAGGCGGCGAGGGCCACACCGGCUGGGUGUCCUGCGUCCGUUUCUCGCCCAACAACUUCGCCCCGACCAUCGUCUCGGGCUCAUGGGACCGCUCCGUCAAGGUCUGGAACCUUACCAACUGCAAGCUCCGCUGCACUCUUGAUGGUCAUGGUGGCUAUGUUAGCGCCGUUGCAGUCAGCCCAGACGGUUCGCUUUGCGCGUCUGGUGGCAAGGAUGGCGUCACCUUGCUGUGGGAUUUGACCGAGGGCAAGAGACUCUACUCGCUGGAUGCGGGAUCCAUUAUCAACUCACUAUGCUUCUCGCCCAACCGCUACUGGCUCUGCGCGGCGACACAGGAUUCCAUCAAGAUCUGGGAUCUUGAGUCAAAGCACAUCGUGCAGGACCUUAGGCCCGAGGUCCCUGUCUCCACCAAGCAGAUGCUCUACUGCACUUGCUUGAGCUGGAGCGCGGAUGGCAGCACUCUGUACGCUGGUUACACCGAUGGAACUAUCCGCAUCUACAAGAUCUCGGGGUUCAGCUACUCUAGCUAG
rnacentral:rRNA from 1 species